rnacentral:lncRNA from 1 species
AUGUUAUCCACUCCUUUAUUAAAAAAAAUUAACCCUGUAAUCCAGCAUUUCCUUCCUCUGGGCACAUACCCGUGGGAAGAAACCCACUACUUUGUAAAUGAAUGUCUGUGAACAUUCAGAAUAGCCAAGGCCUGGAAGCCACGGAAGACCACAAUGGCAGACUAAUGGAUGAAGAAGAUGCGGUACGUGUUAUCAGUAGAACAGCAUCCCACUCUAACAAAGCCGUUGCUAGUGGCUACACAGAGGAGCCUAGAACGUAUUAUUGUGCCUUAGUGAAAUAAGCCAGCUACAGAAAGAAAAAACAUUUCAGGAUCUCAUUACUUGUAGAACUUGAAAUUUUUCGACUGUAUAGAAGUGGAGAUAACAGCGUGGGCUAUUUCUAGGAGAGGUGAGGCAGUGCUGGUUAAAGGAUAAAGAGCAGAGGUGUAGGUUGAGGGAGUCCAGAGGUGGAAUGUGCACCAACCGUGAAGACAAUGGGUCAUCAAAAUGCGGAUGAGACUUAAGCUAAUAAGAGUAUAGCUGCCCUCCAUGCAUCUGUGUGCUCACAUGCACACACACUCACACAGCUUAAAAAUGGCUAUCGAUGAGACGAUGGGCAUGCUUAUUUACCUCAGGAUAGAAAUAUUUCCUGCUAUUGUAUCUCACAGUAUCAUGGUAUCUACCUUAAAAACAUUCCCCAUCAAAACCAAUAUUCUUUUCACGUAAAUAUUGUUAUUUUAGGAUCCUGGAGUGAAAAUAUACUAACGUAUUUUCUGAGGAACAGGCAGAUCACGGCAGAAGACGGUGCUGAGAUACUCUGGUACCACGCAGCGAACCACAAGUGUCAGAUGAGCGACGCCCUGAAGAGUGCCGCCCACAUGAUCGAGGCUGAUGUCCUUCUUCCUAGCGACGGCUCAG